UACGUAGGGGGCGAGCGUUGUCCGGAUUUAUUGGGCGUAAAAGGCUUGUAGGUGGCCACGUCAAGUCGGAUGUGAAAUCUCCCGGCUCAACUGGGAGGGGUCAUUCGAUACUGGCGGGCUCGAGGCCGGUAGGGGGAAGCGGAAUUCCCGGUGUAGUGGUGGAAUGCGUAGAUAUCGGGAGGAACACCAGUGGCGAAGGCGGCUUCCU
rnacentral:rRNA from 1 species